GAUGAAGAACGUAGCGAAAUGCGAUAAGUAGUGUGAAUUGCAGAAUUCAGUGAAUCAUCGAAUCUUUGAACGCACAUUGCGCCCCUUAGUAUCCCGAGGGGCAUGCCUGUUCGAGCGUCAUUUCACCACUCAAGCCUGGCUUGGUGUUGGGCGACGUCCUCUUUGGGGACGCGCCUCGAAACGCUCGGCGGCGUGGCACCGGCUUUAAGCGUAGCAGAAUCUUUCGCUUUGGAAGUCGGGGCCCCGUCUGCCGGAAGACCUGCUCGCAAGGUUGACCUCGGAUCAGGCAGGGAUACCCGCUGAACUUAAGCAUAUCAAUAAGCGGAGGA
rnacentral:misc_RNA from 1 species